CCCUUAGAUGUUCUGGGCCGCACGCGCGCUACACUGAUGCAUUCAACGAGUCUAAAACCUGGUCUGAUAGGGCUGGGUAAUCUUUUGAAAGUGCAUCGUGAUUGGGAUAGAUGAUUGCAAUUCUUCAUCUUCAACGAGGAAUGCCUAGUAAACGCAAGUCAUCAGCUUGCAUUGAUUACGUCCCUGCCCUUUGUACACACCGCCCGUCGCUACUACCGAUUGAAUGGCUUAGUGAGCCCGAGGGACUGUUGCACCUAGAGGGUUUUCUCUCCAGGAGCAGCCGGGAACUCGGUCAAACUUGAUCAUUUAGAGGAAGUAAAAGUCGUAACA
rnacentral:rRNA from 1 species